ACCCCCCCAAUGUCGCACAGCAGCAGCAUAGCAACGCCCAGUAGAAUCUGGUCAUUUUCAUUAACAACGAUGCUGCUCCUCUUGCCAGCAACAACAUGGGAGACUGGAGACAAGAAAAAGAAGUGGAGUAGGAAUAGACACAGGGAGAAAUGUCAACACAUAAGAGUUCAGGAGUAGGCUUGGCCUCUUGCCUUCAGCCCCCAGGGGAAAGCUGUGACUCAUUUCAUUCUUUAGCAGCCAAACAAACAACUGAAGGCGUUCUCUUCAACCAUGUGGGGUGACAGAAAGUGUGAUAUGUGGCCUAGGGGGUGGAGCGGGGUGGGGGAGGGGAGGACAGAGAGGGGUAAAAUGCGUGAUCCCGGAAGAUCCU